CGUCCAAGCUGUUUAUAAAGAUGUUGAACAACAACAGAAUCCUGCAGCACCCUAGCUAUCAUUUUGUCCAGGAUGACGAACCAUUUGUGAGCAUUCUUUAGGUUGGGUCAGUCAACCAGGUAAAAAUCUGUAUAUUAUGAUUUAAUCAUAGGAAGCUGCCUUAUACCAAGUCAGACGCUGGUCCAACUAGCUCAGCAUGGUCUACACUGACAGGCAGCAGUGAUCCAAGGUUUCAGGCAGGGAUCUUUCCCAACCCUAUCUAGAGAUGCUGGGGAUUAAAUCUGAGACCUUCUACAUGCAAAGUGUGUUCUUUACUAUCAAGCUAUGACCCUUCCCCUAAUUAUCAGUGUUGAUUCAUAAUUUAUAAUACAGAGCUAUAGUUAUGUGUAUAUUAAAUAUCAAACACAGAAGUCCUGUACAUGUUUACUCAGAUGUAAAUCUCAUUGCUUUCAGUUGAGCUCAUGCCAAGGUAGGUAGGUAUGGGAUUAUAGCAAAAGUGAUUAGUGCUAUGGAUUCCAUGCUAAUGGAUUCGCCUGGUGUACUUAAAUAAUGUCUUCAAAUAAGACAUUGUAGAGGCAUACAAAGCAGGUACUAUUUAAAAACUAAGUUUAGAAGGUUCAAGGUGUGAUUUCUUCAUUGAUUAAAUUCUGCAGUAUACUUGCAUGAUCCAUAGCAUGUUGAGAAUAAACACUUUUUGACAAAUUAGAGUAGUGCAGUUUCUUUGUUAAUUUUAGUGCUAUGCCUUAUCAUUCCCAAGCAGUUGCACAAGAAUUUCAUGUGGAUGAAUCACUGUAGACUAUUGCUUUUGUAGGUGGCAGUUUAUUUUAUUAUUGUAGUUUUAUAAAGAAAGAUGGAUAAAAGAGGGAAAGAAAUAAGACCAUUGUUAUAACUUUAGGAAAAUACAUAGAAAUUGAAUUCAGAAUAGUUCCCAUUUCCAUAAUAGUUCCAUCAUCUAGAGUAAAUCAUGUGACAGUUGUUAGGAAACCCAGGUCACACAUUUUACUAUUAAAAUAAAUACAUAUAAAAAGCGGUUUUGUUGAGCUAUCUAGGUACAGUGCUUUAUAAAGGUUAAGGCUGGAAACAUUAGCUAACAGGUAAUUUGAUAUGAAUAAAUAUUUUGGUAACAGGCAAUCUUCUGAGCUGAUUUCUCUUCUGAUGGGCAUAUCAAGAGUAGCCCAUUAGGAAUGAAAGGGAAUUACUCAGAUUGCAGAUUAAUCACUUAGGUUUUAUGCAAUAUCACAAAAAAGAAUUUUAUUCCAAAAAAGGUUAAAAUCUAAAAUGAAUAUUACAUGCAAUUUGUUGUAUUCCUUAACAUAAAAACAGCAUUGAAUGUAAUGCUUAAUUCUAGAUUAUAAAAUUAUGUGGUAAGCCCCAGUCCUGUGACAGUCCAGUUUCUGUCACCAUGGGGAACUGGAGUAGGCAGAAUUUUAAAAGUUCUCAAUCAUUCUGAACAUCUAUGGGCACAGAUUGGAAUCCUUAACAGAUGUAAAGACAGUUUUUGCUAGUUAAGUGUGAUGUUCCUUAUUUGGGGGGGGGGGGGGAGAGCCUUAAAGUUUAAUUACUCCAAAGAGGGUUUUUUUGUGUGUGUCCCAAUUUGUCUCUAUUUUGAGGAGAAGAGAAAUUUUCUCUUAUACAGAAUUAUAUUUUAGUUUACUUUCAGAGCAACGUUCCAGAAGUAGAACCUGUCCUAUAAUGUAGAUAUAUAUAUGUAGAUAUAUAUAUAUAUAACUAUAAUGUAGUUGAUGUAACAAGAUGAGAUAGAUGUAACAUAUAAUAACAGUACCUUUCAAAAUACUAAUUGUCCUGCAUUACAGUUGACUGUAGAGAAUCUCUAGUCAUGUAUAUCUGUUUUUGAUACCUCUACAGAAUAACUGUCCAGCAUCCUCUGCCCAACCAGUCAGAAUGUAGGAAAAUCUACAGAUAUGACGGAAUCUACUGUGAAUCUACCUACCAGAAGUAUGUUGAAAUCUGUGUGAGUCUUUCUCCUGGCUCGUGGCGUUAGUGCUGUCCCUCUAUUCAGAAGUUAAACAUGUAUUGAAAACUUACACUUCUGUUUGAAUGAAAUACCUUUGAAAUUGGGGGCAGAUAUAUGUUGUUUUCAUACUUGGGAAUUGUGCUCUUGAAGUUAAAAGGGAAAUAAAUAAACCUCUAGGACUUUAUUAAAUCUCUUAGGUAUGCUUCUGUAUAUUGCAGUAAACAAGUACUUAAACCCAGAAAAACCUAGGCAAAGUAUAUUGCACAGGUGCUUCACAUCUUAGGGAUUUGAAAGGUGUGUUAUGUAUAAAUUAGCUGUCACUUUUUUCAGUCGUGUAAUGGAAUGAUGAGUUGUAAUUUGCAUAAUCCUUUAAGAAGGCAAAUUAUACUGUCAUGUAGCAGACUUAACAUGCUAGCUAGGAUUUCAUAGCUUUGAAGCUAAUUAGUAUGUACCUUACAGGACAGUUAAAUUGAAGUUGAGUCCUUUUGCUUUUUCAGUCAUUUGGCUUUGUCCCUUGCCUAACAGUAUCUGAAUUUGUUAGUGACUAGACAAUGUUACAAGUGUAUUGCAAAAGUCAUUAUAGGCAGAUAUUGGCCUAAGCAAGAAAAUGUAAUAUAGUUUGGGUUUUAAUAUAUCUUAUAGUAAGACAAGUUUUUCUUUUUCUUUUAACUUUUUCACCGUGGAUGAAUAUUCCUUUAUUUCAUGAAUAAAUUUAACAACAGUCCAGUUACUGCAGUUUAUGCUCAGAAAUAGGUCUAUACAUGUGUCAUCUGUAUCAGAUGCAAUAGGCUAAUGCAUGCAGAAAAUGUACCUAGUGGUGGGGAAAUGCUUGCAAAACUCUAUCCCGUGUCUUGUUCAGUUCCCAUUGCAAUAACCUGUCGUUGGUAGCUAUAAGUACUACAUUUCCUGGAUAUGACUUCUAGCAUGUAUACAGCUGGUAAACAACUAAUAGUUAAGUUAGUUUGCAUGUGUGUGUGUGUGUCCGCGUGUCCUUAUCUAUUUGGAUAAAUACAGAUUUAUGUAUCCAUAUCUGAUUUUGAUGAUCAUUGUUUGAUUGCAAAACAGCCUUCUGCCUUUAUAUCAUAACUUAUACAGUGCAAUUAUGAAACUUGAUGUACUAAGAAAUAAGUGCCAAAGAUAAGAUGUACAGUGUAACGGAAUAAGUCUGAUGAAUUAACGCUGCUAAAUCAGCAUUGCACCACUGUUACUGGCGGCAGACAAAUUAACACAAGAUUUGCAUAAUUUAGGAGCAAUCCUACAAACAGGAAGCUGGCGUAAAGCAAGCUGGAGUAGAUUAAGCUGGUAUAAAGUUGCAUCCGAUUCAAACUCGGCUCAGCAGAAGGGUUAUGGUUGGCUGAGUCAGGCUAAGCCUAGAGGAGGGGAAAUAAGCCUUUAAAAUAGUGUUUGAGUUAUGCCACCCUUUUGCCAGUUUUACUUACGUCACAAGAGGCAUAGGACCCAUCCUAAUACCCCUCUCUAGUCCCACCCACACCAUGCUCCAACAACACCCUUCUUUCGGUGUCAUCUUAAGAUCCGCCAGACUUGGCUCAUCCAGCUGGGUCCUGGUUGAACUGGGAUGGCAGAGAUACACUGGCAUAUCUUUGGCUGAGCUGAGGAUAAGGGUAACAGCUCAGCCAGAGAUCUGUUGGAUCCUAAUCUGCUCAGCCUGGCAGAUUUUGCCAAAGGACUGUUGUAUUAAUAGGUUUCUGUUUUGUGCUUUAUUCAUUCAUUCAUUCACUCAUUCAUUCAUUUAUUGGUUGCCUCCUACUCCUUGCAGUAUUUCAGAUGUAGGCUAGUUGUUUGAUAAUUGUUUUCUCCAUUUAGACUUGCAUUGUGGAGUUUAUUUCCCUAAUAUACAAACCCAUCCUAAAAGUCUUCAUUAUAAAUAUGGACAACCUGAAGUUUCCAAAGCUUUACCAACAUUUCAGGAUACAUCACUUUACAGUAAUACAGGGUAUAUAAAAUGACAACAGAUUUAAAAGUUAUGUCAAAUAAGGUCCUCUGAGCAAGAUCAAAUCUUGGAACAGAGAAAGAAACAUAAUUUAUUUGUAUGCCGCCUUUCCAUGGUUAAAACCAUACUCAAGGCGGUUUACAACAUGAAAAAAGAAAUAAUUACAAACAUAACAAAAGUAGUCAU
rnacentral:lncRNA from 1 species